rnacentral:rRNA from 1 species
AGCAGUAUUGAACUGAAGAGUUUGAUCAUGGCUCAGAUUGAACGCUGGCGGCAGGCCUAACACAUGCAAGUCGAGCGGAUGAAGGGAGCUUGCUCCUGGAUUCAGCGGCGGACGGGUGAGUAAUGCCUA